UUACUAUUACUAAUGUAAUAACAAUAUAUAAUAUCAAAAUGUAAUGAUAAGAUGUAGAAGAAAAAAUGUAUAUAUACUUAAAUAUUAUAUGAAUCAUGUAAAUACAUCCAACGAUAUACACGAUGAUGAAAAAUCGCUGUCUUCUUUUUCGUACCAUACGUCGCACUACGCAUUAUAGUUUUUCGUGCGAAUUCUCAACAAAUCGUAUCUUCGAUAUUUGGACACGUGACCAUAGAUAUCUAGAUGAGAUACGAUACAAAAACGACGCAUUUCUUUUGUUUUCGUCUUCCUCUCGGCUGUGUCGUUCGACCUUGUUUUUCUGCUUUAUAAUUGUAUCGUCAAUUCGUAAUAUAUUUCUUUUUGUUUUUAUUCCGUCUUUUUCUCAUGUGUUUAUUUUGGUUUUUAUUGAUUCUUUUAUUGAUUUUGCGAAACUAUUAAGUUAUAUUACGUUCUAUUAUGAAAUCGAAGACAAAGUGGGGUAUUCAAGAAUUAGUUAUCACGCAGAUAGGUUUGUAUAACCUUUUCAAUUAUUACAUACAUAUUCGUUUUAACGAUGUAAAGUGUAUAUAUAGAAAUAAAAUAUAAUUCAUAUUUAAAUCGA